rnacentral:misc_RNA from 1 species
GAUGAAGAACGUAGCGAAAUGCGAUAAGUAAUGUGAAUUGCAGAAUUCAGUGAAUCAUUGAAUCUUUGAACGCACAUUGCGCCCGCCAGUAUUCUGGCGGGCAUGCCUGUCUGAGCGUCAUUUCAACCCUCAUGCCCCUAGGGCGUGGUGUUGGGGAUCGGCCAAAGCCCGCGAGGGACGGCCGGCCCCUAAAUCUAGUGGCGGACCCGUCGUGGCCUCCUCUGCGAAGUAGUGAUAUUCCGCAUCGGAGAGCGAUGAGCCCCUGCCGUUAAACCCCCAACUUUCCAAGGUUGACCUCAGAUCAGGUAGGAAUACCCGCUGAACUUAAGCAUAUCAAUAAGCGGAGGA